rnacentral:rRNA from 1 species
AACCUCCGCAAUGUGAGAAAUCGCGACGGGGGGAUCCCAAGUGCCAUUCUUAACGGGAUGGCUUUUCAUUAGUGUAAAGAGCUUUUGGAAUAAGGGCUGGGCAAGACCGGUGCCAGCCGCCGCGGUAACACCGGCAGCUCUAGUGGUAGCAGUUUUUAUUGGGCCUAAAGCGUCCGUAGCCGGUUUAAUAAGUCUCUGGUGAAAUCCUGUAGCUUAACUGUGGGAAUUGCUGGAGAUACUAUUAGACUUGAGACCGGGAGAGGUUAGAGGUACUCCCAGGGUAGAGGUGAAAUUCUGUAAUCCUGGGAGGACCGCCUGUUGCGAAGGCGUCUAACUGGAACGGUUCUGACGGUGAGGGACGAAAGUUAGGGGCGCGAACCGGAUUAGAUACCCGGGUAGUCCUAACCGUAAACGAUGCGGACUUGGUGUUGGGGUGGCUUUGAGCUGCUCCAGUGCCGAAGGGAAGCUGUUAAGUCCGCCGCCUGGGAAGUACGGUCGCAAGACUGAAACUUAAGGAAGUU